CCUACGGGAGGCUGCAGUGGGGAAUAUUGGACAAUGGGGGCAACCCUGAUCCAGCCAUGCCGCGUGUGUGAAGAAGGCCCUCGGGUUGUAAAGCACUUUCAGUGAGGAAGAACGCCUGGUGGUUAAUACCCAUCAGGAAAGACAUCACUCACAGAAGAAGCACCGGCUAACUCCGUGCCAGCAGCCGCGGUAAUACGGAGGGUGCGAGCGUUAAUCGGAAUUACUGGGCGUAAAGCGCGCGUAGGUGGCUUGAUAAGCCGGUUGUGAAAGCCCCGGGCUCAACCUGGGAACGGCAUCCGGAACUGUCAAGCUAGAGUGCAGGAGAGGAAGGUAGAAUUCCUGGUGUAGCGGUGAAAUGCGUAGAGAUCGGGAGGAAUACCAGUGGCGAAGGCGGCCUUCUGGACUGACACUGACACUGAGGUGCGAAAGCGUGGGUAGCAAACAGGAUUAGAUACCCCUGUAGUC
rnacentral:rRNA from 1 species